GACGAACUGUGCAAACGUUGUUCGGAAUCACUGGGCUUAAAGGGCGCGUAGGCGGCUCAGCAAGUCGGGGGUGAAAUCUUUCGGCUCAACCGGAAAAGUGCCUUCGAUACUGCUGAGCUCGAGGAAGAUAGGGGUCACGGGAACGACCAGUGGAGCGGUGAAAUGCGUUGAGAUUGGUAGGAACGCCGGUGGCGAAAGCGCGUGACUGGAUCUUUUCUGACGCUGAGGCGCGAAAGCUAGGGGAGCAAACGGG
rnacentral:rRNA from 1 species